UCAAUAAAUAGGAGUGAUGGUAUAGAACU
rnacentral:piRNA from 1 species